UACAGAGGGGGCAAGCGUUAAUCGGAAUUACUGGGCGUAAAGCGCGCGUAGGCGGCUUUUCAAGUCGAUUGUGAAAUCCCCGGGCUUAACCUGGGAACUGCAGUCGAGACUGUCUAGCUAGAGUAUGGGAGAGGGAAGUGGAAUUUCAGGUGUAGCGGUGAAAUGCGUAGAUAUCUGAAGGAACAUCAGUGGCGAAAGCGACUUCCUGGACCAAUACUGACGCUCAUGUGCGAAAGCGUGGGGAGCAAACAGG
rnacentral:rRNA from 1 species